UAGUCUCUAGAAUGCGUACAUCACACCAUCUUCUCCAGGCCACAAAAUCCUGUGCCCUCGAAUAUUGUUUCUUUCUCUGGCUUACCUUGCAACGCCGGUGCUGCUCGCUGCAGAAUGCUAGACUGCCGAUCCGCCUUUUGGAUAUAAACUAGGAAAAGUGCCCGUGCGUUGCAACGGGAGAAUACAGUAAAUGUAUCACACGCUACUGAGCAAAUGCUAGAGUCCAAUUAAAAUGUAUAAUUGUGUUUCAUUUUCACUUGGUCACGUAAUAUUUGAAAGAAAACUAACAAAAUAUCAAACCCUUCGCACCCGAUCCAUGGUUGUAGCAUAACCUGACGCCCGUUGUAGCAGGGCACUGACGGGUUGCAGCGUUUGUGAAGGCUGGUUGCGGCUUUAGCUUGGUCUCGCGGAACAACCUACAGCAGGUUGCAACUCCCGCACCCCCGACGACACUAUCGGAGAGGAGGGCGUGUGCGGGCAGCCAUGGAGCAUUAACGAAGGGAAAAGCGGAGGUCAGUGAGGAUGAGUUCAUGAAGGGAGCAAUUGGGGAAGAACAGGUAAAAGAGAAUGAGAGGACUAGGGAGAGAGGUAGAGGAUAAAAUUGCCAAGGAGACAAGGGAGAGACAUAGGAUAAGGUUGGCUCACAGAAAAAAAAACUGCCCGCAAGGGCCGCCUAUUUGUUUCCAUCCAGCUUUGUUUUCCUUUUUGUUUUCUAAGCCAAAACGAAUAUGUAGUACACCUUUUUACUCCCAUGUUUGAUUGGCUGCCGAUGAUGCAUAAAAAUGCAUGUAAUAUCGGAUUGUCCGAUGACGAUCAUUUCUUAGUUGAUAGUAGGAAUUUAUAUACUCCCUCAGGUUGGUUGGUCAUCAACAACAGGAUUUGGACGGUUGAUAGACUGCAACGUUGUGGAUGGCCCAACUGCCACUUAUGCCCGCAAUGCAAGCAAGUACAGAAAUCGGCGGCCCACCUCCAUUUCCAAUGCAGGGACAUCGUAAGGGUUUGGGGCAUGCUUAAGAGUUGGCUUGGGCUACACGAUGUCCAACCAACGGAUUGGAUAGCAAUGGUGUCAGUUAAGGUUUGGUGGAGACGUAAUGCUACACAUGACCCAAUCGCGUCGACCACUUAUCUCUUUGAUGUUGCUUGUCUCUUGGGAAAUUUGAAAGGAGCAAAACGCCAGGGUUUUUCGUAACAGCACGGUUCCGGUGGGAGUGUUGGUCGCCAAGAUAAAGGAUGAAUGCUCACUUUGGAGCCUGCGGGCGCAAAGCAUUUGUGUAAUAUAAUGCCGCGAGAGUAGCGUCUUGUAAUUUGGUCUUGGGCCACGAACUCUAAAUUCCUCUCUUAAUGAAAAUGAUAAAUCUUUUACCUAGUUUCAAAAAUAAAAAUACUCUAUCGGAUGGAAUCGGUUCAAUUUCUUUCUAUGAAUUUUUUAACGCAGGACCUGAAAGGAUCAUGCCGCCGGAAACUGCCCAUGCAAGCGAUUAGGUGAAAGAUGCAAGUAUUCAAUAUUUAAUGAAGUUUUGUCCACGAUGGGGCCAACUGUCAUGGAUUAGUCACUACAGAUAUCCUAGCGUGAGGACUUAGUCAUGAGGCCAACGAAUCUACAUAGUAGCUUGAGAGGGGUUGAGUGGGACGAGAGACGCGAUCUUUUUACCCAGGUUCGGCCCUUCACGGCCGAGGUAAAAGCCUACAUCCUGCUUCAUUGAUAUUAAUCAUGGUGAUGCUCACGAUUAUAAGGGUGCUCUUUCGCUACCUCUACCUCGAGAGCUACUGACUUGUUUGUCUUAUCUUGUUUAUCUGCCUGAAAACUUGUCAAACUUGUCCCUCUUGGGAUGCCCUGCCCCUCCUUAUAUAAGUUGGAGGAGUGGGUUACAUAUGGAGUCCUAGUAGGAUUAGGACUAGUCUAUUACAAGUGGAAUCCUAGUCUUGCUUCUUGCUUCCCUUGUAAGAUAAAUAUUCCUUACGCCUUUCCUCUUAAGCCGGCCCACAAUAACAUGAGUCGGCCCUCCCCAUGAGCCGCCUUCUGGGCCACUGGGUCUUGUCGCUCCUUUGACCCGCCUGCCGGGUCACCAAUGAGUCACCAGGCCCGACCGGGUCAUCAGUGAGUCGCCAAUCUUAAGGCGGGUUACCGAUGAAACGCCAAGUCCCAGCCGGGUCAUAUCUCUGGUCGGGUCAUACCGCGGGGUAUAUCCCCGACACCAUGUAGAAUCAUCUCUCGAUUGUCCGGGUAGUGCUAUCAUCUCAAAGGAUUCUCCUCCAAAAAAUUCUUCAUGAAAUCUUUGAUGAGAACUUGAAAUAUAAACUCACAAAGAGACAGCAUAAUGUGAUGUCUUGAACAANNNNNNNNNNNNNNNNNNNNNNNNNNNNNNNNNNNNNNNNNNNNNNNNNNNNNNNNNNNNNNNNNNNNNNNNNNNNNNNNNNNNNNNNNNNNNNNNNNNNNNNNNNNNNNNNNNNNNNNNNNNNNNNNNNNNNNNNNNNNNNNNNNNNNNNNNNNNNNNNNNNNNNNNNNNNNNNNNNNNNNNNNNNNNNNNNNNNNNNNNNNNNNNNNNNNNNNNNNNNNNNNNNNNNNNNNNNNNNNNNNNNNNNNNNNNNNNNNNNNNNNNNNNNNNNNNNNNNNNNNNNNNNNNNNNNNNNNNNNNNNNNNNNNNNNNNNNNNNNNNNNNNNNNNNNNCAAGAUUGUCGCGUGAUUUAACUUGCAAGAUGUUUAUCUCCUGCUUUUCUGAAGAUUGGGGGGGGGGCACUUAGGAGAAAUAUGUUUAGUGAUAUUACUCUUUAUAUCUUGUUUGCAUUUGUGCAACAUAGGCCGCAUUAUCCUCAUACAUAAUGGUGGGCGACUCUAUCGAACCAAUUCCACAUGACUGUUGUAUGUGGUUUAUCAUUCUGCGAAGUCAUAUGCAUUCACCUGAUGCUUCAAAUAAUGAAACUAUUUCGAAAUAAUUGGUAAAUGUUGCCACCAAAGUCUGUUUUGAAGACUUCCAUGAUAUAACAGUACCACCUAGGAAUCACCUAAGUGCACAAAUACAUCAUAUGAAAGAAACUAAGUGGCGGUCAUCUAGGCAAUAGUAAGCAUCCUUUUUGCAGAGCUUUAUUUUGCAGUAUAUUUUUUGGAACUCAAAGAGAAUUGUGCGUCGUUGCAUUGAGAGAAAGGAGAACCAAAGUACAGUAUGGUUACACCGAAGGCAUCCAAUAUCACGGAGCAUCUACUUAAUACACCUACAACUCGCAUGAUAGGAGUACUCAGGGUUGCUGGUCGUCCUACCAUUGUCGUGCUUGAGCCGCUAGGCGAACAACCAAAGGCGCCAUUCUCCCUUGAUGAUGUUUGCGACCACGCUGACAAGAGCAGCGAUCGCAUUGAAGAUCUCCUAUUUCGUGCUUUCCAUAAGCAGUGCAAUGUGAGGAUGAUUAGAGAGUUGAUUGCUUUGUGAUCGGGGUUGUGGCUGAAGAAGUUGCCACUGUCCAGCAUUCUACCAACAUGGCAUGUUGUUCUGGGCAGUGGCACUCCAAUGCAUUUGAUCGAAGAACUUCAAACAGACAGACCUCACGAACGAGCAUUGUAGGAGUAGAUGACCAGUGCAUUCGGGCUCUUGCAAGCAAAGUGGAUAGCAGGGCUGAUGAGGCAGCCCCCUUCGACGCAGCAUGUCAGAGGUCCAACAACGGUUGCAAAGAACAAGCCAGCCGAAGAACUUGACGCCCCCUUCGGCGUAAAACUUGACUACACAGUGGAUCCACCCCUCAUAGUCUAUGUCGUGGACAAACUUCUUGGCAAUCUUCUCCAUGACCGCAUUUGCGUGAUCUUGGAAAUGAUAAGCGCAAGUAAGGACAUUCUACAAUUGUGCAUACAUGUGCAAGUAUAAUAUAUUUUUUUGCGAGUGAAUUCCACUUUUUACCCCAUAUUUAUACAUUUGUGACACUAAUUACCCCUUCGAGUGAAAAUUCGUCUAGAAUACCCCUUUUGAAAUCUUUAGACCCUUGUUUUUUGAUGCGUGUCCAUCAGGUAAGGUGUGAGGUGACGCCCUGUAUCCAAAAACAUGUGGACGGCCACAAGGAGUGGAACAUAUAGACAAGAGAAGCUUGGACAAGAUCGCCAAUGAUGCCCUCCGAUCCUUACAGUUUUUUUACAAAUCAAUGACGCAACAUGCCGAUCCUAUCGACCAUAAACAGACAAUGCAUGGGCGUGAUGUACAUGCAUUGUCUAAACUUAUGCCACCAAGUCGUAUAUCACAUAAUUUUAGACUCGGACUAGGAGGCUUCACAAGUCAUUACACCCGGUAAUUUGUUUAGGGUUACUGUGGUUUUUCGGCACGUUUGGUUAUGUCAUAACGCUAUUGUAUUUGGUAAUGUAUUUGCCGAAGAGAGUUUUUUUUAAAAGUUCACUGAGAAGGAACUUCCAGUGAAUGCACUCGCAAAUACCAUCCUUCCCGGCGAACAUUCACCAUCUGGUGUGUCCAUCGCGCAAACAUGGCCCUUUCACUCAUCCCUUGUAUAGCCAGGGCUUUUGUCCUUUUUCUGUAUUUGCUCUUGUGUUUUGGCACCAGCACAAACAUUUUUUCCUGCGGGGUUACAUCUUUUUUUCGAAUCUAUAAUAAAAUGCAACGGCACAACUCCUGCCAGUAAAUGUGAAAACUAGAAUAAAAAUUGUUCUGGUAACACCAGGUUAUGAUUAAUAGCCUGUUCGGCAGCUCUCCGGCUCCGCAGCUCCGCUCCUGAAGCGGCCGGAGCGGAGCGGCCUGGGGUGUAUUUUCUGGGAGUUGUGAAAGUGGUGCUCCGUCGGCUCCCGUAUUCUAUGGAGUUGGACGAUUCCCGAACAGGGCCUAAGUAUACAUUUAAGAUUAUCUAGUAAUUCUGAUUGCCUGAACAAAUAGCCUUUCAGUCUUUAGUAUCAGCUACGAAGCACAACAUGAUCAGCGUGAGCCGUCAUCACAAAUCCGCUAGAUAUCUGUGAGCAAGAGUGCACUAUUCCAUUUUCUUGACAACACAAGUGAAGUGGGUACAAUAACGCUCACUAUCAAGGCAGCACCCCUGGUUGGCUCUAGUCUCUAGAAUGCGUACAUCACACCAUCUUCUCCAGGCCACAAAAUCCUGUGCCCUCGAAUAUUGUUUCUUUCUCUGGCUUACCUUGCAACGCCGGUGCUGCUCGCUGCAGAAUGCUAGACUGCCGAUCCGCCUUUUGGAUAUAAACUAGGAAAAGUGCCCGUGCGUUGCAACGGGAGAAUACAGUAAAUGUAUCACACGCUACUGAGCAAAUGCUAGAGUCCAAUUAAAAUGUAUAAUUGUGUUUCAUUUUCACUUGGUCACGUAAUAUUUGAAAGAAAACUAACAAAAUAUCAAACCUGCAGUUUCUUAACCAACAUGCAUACAGACUACUGAAUAUUGAACAACAGUUGUACCUGAAGUUGAUGGGCAGCAAUUUGUGGCUCCAAUUUAACCAUCCAAGCUACUAUAUGAAAGAUCAUGAGUUUGUCAAGUAGAAAAUCUUUUCUGAUGCAACAUUAUUCCCUGAUUGCUAUGGUUGUUGGAGGUUGCCUCUACCAUCAACCAAUCCAAAGAGAUGUGAGGCUGGAUCUUAUGGUCACACGGUUGGUCAGGCAACUGGGGUGUAGGUGUGUAGCACCAUCUCCGGUUUUUAUAAUUUCGCAAACGAUAAAGAUAAUCUGAAAGGCAAGACUUAUCUACGGCUUUGAUGUUGGACGCAAAGUUUGAUGGUGCGAACUUGAUAGAAGUUGUCAUUUUUAAAGGCCUAUGCUGUUGGUGCAUGUUUCAAAGGUAACAGAAACAUAACUACACAUGUUAAUUGGUUUUAUACCACACUGUUUUGUUCAUUGUUUUCAUUGCUUCCAAAUACUGACCCUUUCAUAUGUACCCUUACAUUGAUCAUAGACGGACAUAAAAUGCUUGUUUAUUCACCAGUGUAUUGUUGUGAUUUCUCCCAAAUACAAACCCUUUGAGAUAUAAUUUUGCUCCAAGCAUGUUUCAUUAUGAACAUGAAGAUAAACACUUCUCUUCGAAAUACUUUCAGGCACGAACUUCACAAACGCUGCCAAUUUUGGAAAAGCCGAAAGCCCUCAAUUCUUUUUGAAAAGCUGAUGUCAAAGCUGCAAUCUUUGAGAACGUCGUCUUGCCAGGACCAACCUUCGACGAUGCUAAUAUGAAGGACGUUGAUUUCGAGGGCACACUCACUGGCUACAUUGACCUUCAGAAGCUAUGCAAAAACAACAAAAUCAAUUAAGGCACAAGAUUUGAGCUGGGAUGCAACAUUAAAUCAUAGACAUAUUUAUGGCAGCAUCGGCAUCCUCCAACAUAAUUAGUAAGCAAGUCUGUUAUAGAGCACAAGCAGGUUGACAACAACUGCCCUUUUACUCCCCUUGAAAAUAUGUAUGUACAACCCUCUGCAAUACAUACCACAGCUGCAGUUGAUCUGUACAAACAAUUUACACGGAAGGAAGUUUCCCAUGAUUUUCUUUGUAGAUGUAUGGUUCACAAUUCGGCAACAGCAUGCCAUCACUUAUAUAUGAUGCAUGAGUUGGAUGGCAUGCAUUCUGAACUCAGUACCAAUGUACACACAGGAAGUGAUCAGACCCUACAGUACUAUGUGCGUUUGCUUGACAACAUUAUUUGCCUCCUCCUGGGUUGGUUUGUCCUGCCAUUAUGAAAAGGAAGUUUAGGUUAUUGAUGCUAUAGGUAUAGAGGGAGAGCAGGUGUAGAGAGAGAAUUUUGAGCAAUGCAGACCUUGCAACAGUGCAGUACGGGGUGGGCGAGGAGGCCAGCCUCCACGCGUCGGAACGAAGCAAGGUACAGUCCCUAUUGAUAUCGGUGUGUGACGUAACUGGUGAGGAGGAUAGAGAGGUACUGAUGCUAGCCGCCAUAACGGUGCAGAUGAGCAGAUGAACCCGGGUAGGGGAUCAGAUGGUGGUGGAGGAGCUCGUGGUUGUCUGCCCCAGUGGCACCUCAAGGCAGAGCUUGCUCCCUCGCGCCGCUGCUGCGGCAAUCGCUUGCUUGCUCCUAGAGAAAGGAGCACAGGGUGCAGGGUCGGCUCCAGGACAGACGGAUCCAACCCUGGGGAGCUCGUGGUAGCCGGAUCCCAAUGGCGUCACUUGCUCCGAGAGAAACCAACGGAGCCUGCAAGAUUGGUUCCGGUACCUACGGAUCUGACGCUGGGAGCCCGUGGUGGCCGGAUCCGACGGCGGCGAGCCUUCGUUGCACAUGCCCAGGUUCUGUCAAGCAGCACGUUCGGAGUCUCGGGAAGGCCCUUGCCGCCGACAUCAAUGUUUUGCUUCUCUCGUCCGCAUCCACGGGAUCCACACCCCACUCCGCUCCUCUCCCCCAAGCCACCGAAGACGAUAUUUAUGAGAGGGGUUAGGGAAGGCGGAGAGGAUGCAGAGUUCGACUCUGACUAAGAGUUCUCCUCUUGAGGGAUGACGCACGUAUAUAUACGAAAAUUCAGUAACAGGAUUGCUUCGUUCCAGUUUUCUUUGUCUCUUGAUCGCAGGAAAGCAGAUCUAUCAACAAUUGUAUUUCCAGGACAGAAUGCCCUACAAAACUUAUAACCAUUGUUCUUUGAUCUAUUUGAAUUGAUAGUUCAUCAAGCUAAAUUCAGGACCUUGAUUAAGAAACACAGAUUCCAUACUGACUGUGUUCUAUCUUGUUCACAAAUUUUCUCAUCUCCACCUUAGAAAAAUUCUAUUAUAGUUUAUUAAACAAUACUUUUCAGUUUUGUAUUGUAAGAAAGAAAGCCAAUACACUUCAACGACAGAGGAAGGUAGAAAAUAUUUUGCAAAAACAGAGUGUCUGAUUGUGCUUCGUCCCUGGUUUUAACUCUUGAAUGUAAAGAAGUGAAACAACUUGCCCGGUGAAGCUAUUUCACAUUUAACACUGACCCAGGACCUUUAAGCUACGUGAAGCAACCAUGAUGUAUAUCUUGCCUUCAGCAUGAUCAAAUUAUAUCAACUGAAAAAACUACACACACCAAUUGCCAAAGCCAAACUUACCAUUAUUUCAGUCAGAAAUGCAGAACAUAUACGUAUCAGAUUACCGAAUGAAUUACUAUCCCUGAUGGUAGACAAAGGAAACUGCUCACAGAACAAUUCGUACUAUGAUACUAUGGGCAUAUACUAAAGCAUUUUGAGAAGCAUAGAACUAAGCAAAGAGACCAUGAAUCUAUUUUGAUACCCUUCUUCUGAAGCUAUCAUUUCAGGUAUCAAAAUUUUGAUGUGUGAUCUGGUGUCCGAAGUAGAUUUGAAUGCUAGCAUACAUGAAAAUCAACAUUUUUUCUAUUUGGACUUUCUUUAAGUAGGUAAGUAUUUUUCGGAUAACAACUUCGCUUUACCUCAAAAUUGAUCAACCGAUGUGCCAACGAAUAGAACUAUAGAAUUCAGUAAAGUAUGUGCUUAUGUAUUCCCAGAUCCUUGCGAUUCAAACAGUAAACUUCCAAUGAUGGGACUGCCUCUCACGUCCUUUAGCAGCGGAACUCCAUCGAUUAAAUCCUGCUGAUGUAAAAAGAGAAUGUGAUUACUACAGGAUAGUUAUAGAUUAGCCACCAAGAAAAAAAAGGCAAAUACAAAAGGAAAAAUAAAGCUGGAAUAUUUAUCCAUUGCUUAGUGUAAAGAGAAAGCACAUGCAACCAUGCAUUUUUUAUCAAUUAUAAUUGUUUCUACUGGUUUCCCUUCUCCAAAUAACCUGGCAAAUUGUACAAACAGACUAAACAUAUACAAAUUAUUGAUAGCUCAGUUCAUGCCUAACAGAGACCCAUCGCCGACCCGACGCACCUUGAGACAGAUCUUCUUCCUUUGUUUCUUGACUGAUAUGCUGCAUAAAAGUUCUGUUUACCAUCCAUAGUAAUUAGAUUUCGAACAAAGUAACCAGGCAAUUAAGCAUAUACUAUCUCUACAUACUUUGCACGCUCCUUUAUAAUUACCCCCUCCGUUCCAGAAUAUAAGGUGUAUUGGUUUCCGUGCAAGUCAACCAUGUGAAUGUUUGACCAAGAUUAUAGAAUAAAAUAACAAUAUCUGCAAUGCCUAGUAGAUAGUAAAAUCUGAAACUACUUAUGAUGGAUGAAAUGAUAUAAAUUUCGUAAUGUGAAUGUUGAUAUAUUUUUCUAAAAACUCGGUCAAACUUGCACUUGUUUGACUUUUCAAAAAACAAAUACACCUUAUAUAAAGGAACGGAGGUAGUAUAACACAUACAAAACUAGAAACUUAAUUUUAACUAUUGUAGUUAAAUUCAAUUAUAAAAUCAGUAUUAGAGAGCUGAAUAACAAAUUUGUAGAAGGGGUGAUGUUUUUAUUUCUUAUUUCAAUGUGAUCAGCAAACAAAUGUGUAUAACCCACAGUCAAAGGAGAGCACAAUUUAAUGUUCACUUCAGAAAUAAAUUGUUAUAAUCCACAUUUGUAGAAGAGCAAAUUUAAUCUUACCAUCUAGCAAACAAAACCUGCAGCGUGAAUCAUCGCCACAGAGUCCAUCCCCGCAACUGCAUGCACCCUCAAGCCAUCAAGCAGUCAAGCAUGCCAGGGAAAAGGCCUGACUUAGAACUGCAAAACUGUGGUACUCCCUCCUGUCCUUUUUACUCUGUAUAUAAGAAUUGUCCGAAGUCAAACUUCAUAAAGUUUGACCAUAUUUAUAUGAAAAAAAUAUCAACAUCUACAAUACUAAAGUUAUACAAUAUGAAAAUUAAAUUCAUCACGCAUCUAAUGAUAUGGAUUUCAUAUUCUGAAUGUUGGUAUUUUUUCUAUAAAGUUGGUCAAACUUUACAAAGUUUGACUUCACACAAACCUUAGUACUCCCUCCAUUCCUAAAUAUUUGUUUUUUUAGAGGUUUCAAAUGGUGACUACAUACGGAGCAAAAUGAGUGAAUCUACACUCUAAAAUAUGUCUAUAUACAUCCGUAUGUGGUGACCAUUUGAAAUCUCUAGAAAGACAAAUAUUUAGGAACGGAGGGAGUAUAUGCAGAGUAAAAAGGACAGGAGAGUACAGAAUUUGCCAUAGAUUGUCAAAGAGAAUUCUGUGGUCCUUUCAUUCAAAUGGUCUAAAACAAAGUAUUGAUGUGAAAGAACAUAAACAUGCAGUAAUCCAUUGGCAUAAAUGGGAUUGCAAUAUGAAUCCUACAUACAAGCAGAGUAUAAGCUAGCAGAUUUGCUAGGCAGGCCAUAACUCUACCUUAAUCCUACAUACAAGCAGACAAUCAGCUAACAGAUUUCCUAGAAGUUUCUUCAGUACAUGAUGCAAUCUCAACACACGACUAUGCAUAUGCACAGCUAUAGUAUAUAACUAUAUAUUGACAAAUUAACUAUCAGAAAUAAUGAGAUGGGAUAUUCAUCCAGCACACAAUUCAAACAGUAACAACAUAAUUGGGAAGAACAUAGCAGCAAUGAAAAUGAGGAUCAGAGGAAUGGGCAUAACACCUCGUUCCUACGUCUACACAAUACAGCAUAGUUCUAGUGACCUUGCUCAACAUUUAAUUAAAAAAAUAUGCCAAUAGCAAGCAAAAAAAAUAAACAUUACAGAACGUUUAGAUCUCACCUCACGUUUCUAACACCUGAACUGCUUCCUGGAUAUAGAGCAUCAGAGUUAUAAGAGCCAAGAGAUGAUACAUUCUGUAUCUGUCAUUCUGCCCAUUCUCAAUCUUUGAGCGACCGGUUGAAAUUCCUUUAUCUGUUAGGGCUGCAAAACAGUACCAAAACUAUUUACUUUAGAUCAUAUAUGAAGCUGCUUUCUGGGUAUCUAUUACCAUAAUCUAUAAAGCAGGCCAUGAGAUUCCGAACUAAUGAGCAAAAUAAGAUUGUCUGUUGAGUUCACCUGAGGGGAAUCUACCGAUCAACAUAGAAAUGCC
rnacentral:lncRNA from 1 species